UAAUCCCUUCCCAGGAGACUCUUUCUAUUUCUGUAGUGGAGUGUCUGCGGGGCGUUGGCAUUGGACCCCUUAUUUUUAGGCGGCCCGAGCCGAAAUGAAGCGGCGGACUCGCGGCAGCCCCUAGCGCAGUAGAAUAACCCUUCUCGCUUAGGAGAUCUGCAGCGGUGGACCACAGCCCUUUUUACGUGCUUUUUCAAAAAAGCUACAUUAUAAAA
rnacentral:misc_RNA from 1 species